GAUGAAGAACGUAGUGAAAUGCGAUAAUUAAUGUGAAUUGCAGAAUUCAGUGAAUCAUCGAGUCUUUGAACGCACAUUGCGCCCCCUGGUAUUCCGGGGGGCAUGCCUGUCCGAGCGUCAUUGCUGCCCUCAAGCACGGCUUGUGUGUUGGGCUUCCGUCCCUGGCAACGGGGACGGGCCCAAAAGGCAGUGGCGGCACCAUGUCUGGUCCUCGAGCGUAUGGGGCUUUGUCACCCGCUCCCGUAGGUCCAGCUGGCAGCUAGCCUCGCAACCAAUCUUUUUAACCAGGUUAACCUCGGAUCAGGUAGGGAUACCCGCUGAACUUAAGCAUAUCAAUAAGCGGAGGA
rnacentral:misc_RNA from 1 species